rnacentral:lncRNA from 1 species
UCGAAGGUGGAGACUGCGCCGUUGACGAUAUUCUACGCCGGGCAGGUCAUAGUUUUCAACGACUUUCCGGCGGAUAAAGCGCAGGAGAUCUUAGCGUUAGCUAGCAAGUUGAGCGCCGCCCAGACCCACCCCAACGCCGCCUUUGCUCCGCCCCAUGCCGUCCAGAGCCCCGCCGAGUCCGCCUCCAGCGUUCCUAACUUUGUGUCAGCCCAGCCGGCUCUUGAUUCUGGUAAGCCAUAGAUUAUUGCCCUAAAAUAUCAAAACCCCCAAUUUUGGGGAUUUUUUUUUUGUUCAUGUCAAAUAACAAUUUCUUUUUCCUCCACUUGCAGAUUUACCCAUUGCCAGGAAAAACUCGUUGGCCCGGUUCUUGGAGAAGAGGCGAGACAGGAUCACCGCAAAUGCGCCGUACCCAGCCGUAAGAAAGGCAACGCCGCCGCCUCCGAAGGCGGAGGCGUGGCUCGGAUUGGGUCCGUAGCUUCCCUUCCAGAUUCAGCGCAACUAGUGAUUAAAUUGAAAAGAUUGUUAGUAGAGUAUAAUUUUACUGUUUAUCCGUUCGUUAAUUUGUAGCAUAGUAGCUUGA